UAUAUAUAUAUAUGUAGUAGAAGUAUAAUGGCACUCACCCUUACUGCUAUGAUAAAAAUCUCUUGCCCUGGUGCUAUCCCACGCUGGGAUAUGUAGUAUAUCAAUAAUAAGGAUGCACUCUCCGGUCUUUUUUAAAUAUUCCAAGUGGUAUUUAUUCCGUCACAUAUUAUGACAAAUUGAUCAACGUUUCGACCCGUUCGGGUCUUCCUCAGGAUCAAGUGUAUAUUACAAAACAGGGUUUAUAUAGGAUAAGUGUAAAUUGUACUCACCAAUAGUGACUGUAUCCCGCCUAUCCCC